GGGGAGGUUCCCGAGUGGCCAAAGGGGACAGACUGUAAAUCUGCUGCUUAUUGCUUCGGUGGUUCGAAUCCACCCCUCCCCACCA
rnacentral:tRNA from 1 species